CGGGAAGCCAUAUGGCGACAUAGAGCGGAACCCGAAAACCUGUCUCAGUUCGGAUUGGAGUCUGCAACCCGACUCCAUGAAGCUGGAUUCGCUAGUAAUCGCGCAUCAGCCACGGCGCGGUGAAUACGUUCCCGGGCCUUGUACACACCGCCCGUCAAGCCAUGGAAGCCGGGAGUGCCUGAAGUGCGUGACCGCAAGGAGCGUCCUAAGGCAAUACCGGUGACUGGGGCUAAGUCGUAACAAGGUAGC
rnacentral:rRNA from 1 species